rnacentral:rRNA from 1 species
CAGCAGCCGCGGGAAUGCGAAGGGGGCUAGCGUUGCUCGGAAUGACUGGGCGUAAAGGGCGCGUAGGCGGAAUGUACAGUCAGACGUGAAAUUCCUGGGCUCAACCUGGGGACUGCGUUUGAGACGUGCGUUCUAGAGUUUGGAAGAGGGUUGUGGAAUUCCCAGUGUAGAGGUGAAAUUCGUGGAUAUUGGGAAGAACACCGGUGGCGAAGGCGGCAACCUGGUCCUUGACUGAUGCUGAGGCGCGAAAGCGUGGGGAGCAAACAGGAUUAGAUACCCCCGUAGUCCCUGUCUCUUAUAC